UACGGAGGAUCCAAGCGUUAUCCGGAUUUAUUGGGUUUAAAGGGUGCGUAGGCGGCCAGUUAAGUCAGGGGUGAAAGACGGUGGCUCAACUAUCGCAGUGCCUUUGAUACUGAUUGGCUUGAAUGUACUUGAGGUAGGCGGAAUGUGACAAGUAGCGGUGAAAUGCAUAGAUAUGUCACAGAACACCGAUUGCGAAGGCAGCUUACUGUGGUGUCAUUGACACUGAGGCACGAAAGCGGGGGGAUAAAACAGG
rnacentral:rRNA from 1 species